rnacentral:lncRNA from 1 species
AGCAGCUGGACUGAGACUGGGGGACAGAACUCCAAAGCCCACUGAGAUGUGGGAAAACAUGGAGAAGCACACGGAGCAUUCACAACUUAUUGCCGUCAGAGUCAAUACAUGGAUCCUCCCUCUGUGGUGGUCACCAGCCACCAGGCCCCAGGAGAAAAGAAGAAACUGAAGUGCCUGGCCUACGACUUCUACCCAGGGAAAAUUGAUGUGCACUGGACUCGGGCCGGCGAGGUGCAGGAGCCUGAGUUACGGGGAGAUGUUCUUCACAAUGGAAAUGGCACUUACCAGUCCUGGGUGGUGGUGGCAGUGCCCCCGCAGGACACAGCCCCCUACUCCUGCCACGUGCAGCACAGCAGCCUGGCCCAGCCCCUCGUGGUGCCCUGGGAGGCCAGCUAGGAAGCAAGGGUUGGAGGCAAUGUGGGAUCUCAGACCCAGUAGCUGCCCUUCCUGCCUGAUGUGGGAGCUGAACCACAGAAAUCACAGUCAAUGGAUCCACAAGGCCUGAGGAGCAGUGUGGGGGGACAGACAGGAGGUGGAUUUGGAGACCGAAGACUGGGAUGCCUGUCUUGAGUAGACUUGGACCCAAAAAAUCAUCUCACCUUGAGCCCACCCCCACCCCAUUGUCUAAUCUGUAGAAGCUAAUAAAUAAUCAUCCCUCCUUGCCUAGCAUAACAGAGAA